rnacentral:misc_RNA from 1 species
CGAGAUGUCUUUAUCGUCUUGCCCGAGUGCCUCCUUAUAUGCUCUCACCGGAGAAUAAUCUAUGUCGGUGGAGGAAUCCAGCAAACUUGACCUCCAGAAGCUCGAAGUUUUUCUCAAAGAGGAAUGCUACAUUCUCUCUAACAGUGAAAGAGGACGUCCAAAGUCGUCAUCAACAGCCAUCAUGGCAGUCAGUAGAGCAUUGAUGUCAAUGCUCAAGAUAAUGUUCGAUAACCAGUUAAUCUUCCGUUGACCUUUAUGUGGACCGGAACUGUAUGGGCUUAGGCGACCAGGAAAGUAAAGGAGUUGGGAUAGCCACCUG